rnacentral:rRNA from 1 species
UACGGAGGGUGCAAGCGUUGUCCGGAAUCAUUGGGCGUAAAGAGCUCGUAGGCGGCUCAGUAAGUCGGGUGUGAAACCUCCAGGCUCAACCUGGAGACGCCACCCGAUACUGCUGUGGCUAGAGUCCAGUAGGGGAGUGUGGAAUUCCCGGUGUAGCGGUGAAAUGCGCAGAUAUCGGGAGGAACACCAGCGGCGAAGGCGGCACUCUGGGCUGGUACUGACGCUGAGGAGCGAAAGCGUGGGGAGCGAACAGG